rnacentral:tRNA from 1 species
GGCCUAGUGGCCUAAUGGAUAAGCAUCAGCCUUCGAGCUGAGGAUUGUGGGUUCGAGUCCAUCUGGGUCA